UUAGGACCGUAGCCCCUAACCAAUUUUUCAAAAGGUAAAUAUCCAUUGGGAGGUGGAAUUAUUAGCCUUUAUCCACUAGGUAUAGGGGCUUCACACCUGAGUUGAUCCACAUCAAGCUAUAUCACCCUUAAUCAGCAGGCUGGGCGAUUAGAUCCAUUUAAUCUUACCAACCAGGCACUAGUCGAUCCUCCUUGUCGACUCCCAUAAUUAUUGUCAAUACAUCAGCCAUCUUCAGCUACCAACCCCAGCUUGAGUCUCACC
rnacentral:lncRNA from 1 species